GCUAUUGAAGCUCAGAAGAAGCAUUAAUCCAACUUUGGGAAGAGGUCAUGGGUCAGGAAAAACUUCCAGGAGAAAAUGAUUCCAGAGAGUUGAAGUGGGAUGUCUUGUGGUGGCGGUUGGGAGGAGUAAAGGGAAAAGGAUUGCUUGAACAGAAGCUGUACAGUAAGAAACUGGUCUUUGUGCUGAACUAAAACUAAGACUUCUAUGCCACUGUUUAGGGAUGUGAGGCUGGAGAAGUUGACAAGGAUCAUGUCCAAGGAAAAGUCAAACUUGAACAAAAAGAGGAACAUCUCUUCUGGUGAGACUGGAGAAAGGAUUUAAGGGCAAAUAACAAACAGAUCUUUAACAUACCUGGACUGGAAUGUUC
rnacentral:lncRNA from 10 species